CAUUUUAACUUUUUCAAAAAUUUCAACUUUUUUUUAUCCAAAAAAAGAAGUCAACUUUUGGGUUUAGGGCUAUUGCAUGGAUCUCAAACCGUAAGGUGUAAAGCAUGCAUGUAAACAAAGAAAAAAAAAAAGCGGAUGGGGUUUUCUACUUUUUCUCACGCUUCAGUCUCUCUUAACUUCUUCUCUUCCAACCCAACCACAAGAAAAACCCACCAUAGAAGAUACAGACUAAGGAAGAUGCUUGAUCUUCUGGCGCAUACAGCACAAUGCCGUUCGCGAAAUGCCAAUACACAAAUUGUAGGAAGGUGAAGGGGCUUUUCCACCAUGGGAUACAUUGCAAAAUCAGCGCUACCGGAGGUUGUGUUCUCUGUAAGAAAAUGUGGUAUCUCCUUCAACUUCAUGCUUGAGUGUGCAAAGAAUCUGAGUGCCAUGUGCCACGUUGCAGAGAUCUAAAAGAACAUAUCAGGAUGCUAGAGCAACAGUCUGAUUCACGCCAAAAGAGCUGCCAUGAUGGAGAUAAUGAGACAGAGAGCGGCAGAGGCUGCCAGAAUUGCUGAAUGAUCAAUUUGUACAUACUACUAUGGAGUUUUGAAGUAACCCUCUAGGUAGAGGGAGGUAGACCAUAGCUUUUGUCCUUCUCCACCAAGACACUGUUGGAAACUACGCAGUGAUGGCAACGGGCACUGAUUACUGCUCACUCAUGAGUGUACAUCGUCGUCUGUACACAUCACUUAUUUCACGUUUUACAAACUUCUUAUUUCUGGUAGCUUAUUUACAUAAGA